CACGUAGGGCGCAAGCGUUGUCCGGAAUUAUUGGGCGUAAAGAGCUCGUAGGCGGUCUGUUGCGUCCGCUGUGAAAACUCGGGGCUUAACCCCGAGCCUGCAGUGGAUACGGGCAGACUAGAGGUAGGUAGGGGAGAAUGGAAUUCCCGGUGUAGCGGUGAAAUGCGCAGAUAUCGGGAGGAACACCGGUGGCGAAGGCGGUUCUCUGGGCCGUACCUGACGCUGAGACGCGAAAGCGUGGGGAGCGAACAGG
rnacentral:rRNA from 1 species